rnacentral:misc_RNA from 1 species
UGUGGGAGCGAGCCUGCUCGCGAUGACGGCGGUACAUUCAGCAUCAAUGUAGGCCGAUCCACCGCUAUCGCGAGCAGGCUCGCUCCCACA